rfam:Pseudomonas sp. ABAC61 scaffold14_001, whole genome shotgun sequence.
GCCCAAGCAACUUGGCACAGGCGCUGCAUUGCUCCUGGCAACAGACAUAAAACCCGGCCUUCAACGACGAAGACGGGUUUCCCGAGAGAACGGGAUCGGACAAAGGCGUCCUCGUCAGGCCACUGACGGGACGCC